UUUUUGUAAUAAAUUUAGGAAUUGUUGCUACUGAACUGAGUUGUGCGGAUAAAGGAGAAAUGGAGAAUCCAGAGUUAUGCCCAAAAUGGAUAGCUUUGCUGACUACGGAGAAAGCUUGCUUAUCUACUAUCUCUCUUGAAGAAACCACUGGUGCAGUAAAGGAAGUCGAGGGGGGGCAACUUUAAGGAAAAAUUACGGGAGCUUGGAGGUCUUGAUGCUGUAUUUGAGGUGACCAUGGAUUGCCAUUCCAAUAUGGAGGUGUGAACCUGGUUGGCUAAAAGAUAGCUCACAUUCUAUUUGGGAAAAUGAAAACGGCAUGGUGCGGAGCCUGGUUCUGCUUUUGAAAUGUUUGAAGAUCAUGGAAAAUGCCAUAUUCCUAAGUAAAGAGAAUCAGUGAUUGAGCUUAAGGGCAACAUCCGAGUUUUCUGCAGAUGUAUACCUUUAAAUCAAACUGAAAUUUCAAGCGGAUCUGGUUUCGUUUUUGAAUUCGAAUCCUCCCUAGAUAACGAGCUGCAGGUCAUUUGUUAUGAUUCCUCGAAAAAGUUGUUCAAGUUUGACCAUGUCUUUAGACCUGAGGACAACGAAGCCUAUGGUCUAAUUGACGUUGGUGUGAGUGUGCUCGAUAGCAACCAAUUUUGGGUGAGAACCAUCAAACUCUAAUCCUAAUUUUUUCCUCUGAUGUAUGUAUAUGCAUGAUGUAUGUGUGUGAUUUUAGAUUGUAAUGUAUCACAAAUUUGUGGCAUGAAAAUUGAUAUUUGUAGACUUACCCUUUAUUUUUUGGCUGUGAUGGGGGAAAGGAAAAUAAAAUUUCAAAGAUUGAUACUUUUAUGUGAUUUCUUGGCUCUUUGUUUCAUAUGAUUUUCAUUGUAUGUGUGCCAGUGUAUGUCUCUUCUUGAAAAAUGCAUGUUGAAAAUGGGAGAAUUUUGGACAUUGACAUGUUUAGAAGUCAGGUUUUCUGAAUGAAGAUACUCUUAUGAUUUGUUUGUAAUUUGUUUUGCAAAUGGGUAGGAAUGUCAUUCUAAAAGAAUAUUGGCAG